GCUUAGCGUAGCGUAGCGUAAGUUCUACCAGGAAACUUGAAUGUUACGUCAUUCAUUUCACAAGGCGCAAUCAAUCACUCCUGAUUCUGAUUGUAUAUAAGCCUCGUACUCACUUGUCUUUGCGUUCGCAGAUACUGAUGCCAGCAUUUACACGCUCGAUGUUCAGUGCACAUGUACACUAAAGCGUUGUUACCUGUAACACGCCGAUUCAAAUGAUGAGUGAUUUUAUCGGGCAUUCGAACUGUUUUCCUGGGAUUUUCUCAUCUCGUUUCGUUUCACCUGCACCAUCGCGAGGAGCUCUCACAGAAGGUUAAAGACUUAAAAGGGAAGUCUUCAAGCUUCCUUAAAAGUGUGUAACCCUGCAGUACACAGGGAAGGAUACCACAGGCCGUUUCUUUUAUGAACAGUGCAAGAACAUUUGGAUGAUCUGUAAAGUGUAACCAUAAUAUUAAUUGACUGUCGCACACUCUGAACGCCCGCAGCAGAUGUCACUAAUCAUCAUUGAUUGGCGAAGCGCUGCACCUGCACGCUGGGAGUCGCCGUGGCGGCUUUGGAAGAAUGCUGAAGUUUGUUUUCUCCCUCAUCACAGGAUCUUUGUCUUUCAUCUAUAAUACCAAAUGCUCCGCUUAUUAUUGUUUUUAAACCGUACGCGAAUGUUUUGUGAAGCAAAGACAUGGAAUCGACUUGGAUGAAGAGACUAUUGCUCGCGAAAUGUCACACAUUAAAUUCCGCGUGUAUGCAAUGCAUGACAUGCUGCAAACAGGCAAAUGACGCGGUCUAAUGUUCGCGUGUUUCAUUGGAAUAAGGAAUGCGCAAAGUAUACGAGCUUCAUCUGAACUGUCCCUUUCAGUGUUUCCCUAAAACAUCAAUAAUAUAAGGUACUAUUUAUUCAUGUAACAGGUCUUGCAACGUCCUAUACCUGCUACGGUACUACAAUGCAAGUUGCUUAAUGCCUAACAGUAUUCAUGCAAACUGUUCAUAUCAAAUGCAAAUAUUCACGUUAGAUCUUCACUCACCUGACCCUAAUUACAGACUUUAAGGAUACGGGGAUACGCUAUUUUACGAACUUUAAAUCUUAUGGUAGGAUACACCAUUAAUAUAUCAUUGGAGAAUAAAUCCUGGUCAUACAGCGUAAAGUUUUCAAGCACACAUUUUGUUGCUGAGCAAAUCGUAAGUGUGUGUGUGGUCGAAUGGCAACAGUAAUGCAUAUUGUCAAUUUUAUUGAGCACGGGGUUCAGCAUAAAUGUUUCCAUCUAAAGCUUUGUGCUUUAAGAUCUUCAGUUAUGCACAUGUAUAAAGUACGAGAAUGCAUCAACUUUUAACUGUACUUUUCAAAUGAGACUUUAUUCCAGAUCUCAGUCAACUUCUUAUCCGAGCUCGGUUGCGUUGAACAUCCCAUCUAUGUAUUUGGAUUAUCUUCUCCUAAGGUAAGCUCUCUUAUUCAUUAUGCUGGAUUGGCUGAUAGUGCACAGUACAUGCUUUUACAACCGAAAGAUGGCAAUGACUAUGUCUUACAGCGCAAUAUGGAGACGGAGCUGAUGUUGUGUGGUGUCUUUAAUACAAUUACGUGCAUUGGUAUUAUUUCUAAGCCGUUGUUUUGAUCGGUGUGCAUUAUGUGGAUGUCUCAACAAAGUUGAGCCUGUAAACCCUCAUGUCGAGUUUGUUUGUAUGCAGUAGACCUCACUUAAAGUUGAAAAACGCGCGCCUUGCCUCUUUAAGAAUACAACAGGUUGCAUCAGUUUAAACCAUUAAGUGCAUUGUGCUUUAUUUGCGACGCAGGCACACAGAAUAUGCGUAUGGGUAGGCUACAGCGGAUGUCUGGAUACUGGUUUGAAGAUGUAAUGUGACUGCUAGCUUUAAAUCACAUCACGUAAUUCCUAUUUAAAGUGCUGUUGAACGUUGGCAACAUAUGUUUCGCCCGAAAUGGUGGUGCCACCAGCUAUACAGAAUACAAACACAAUUCCUUCUUGUUUUAGCAUGGAACCCAAUGGAAAUAAUGUCUAAAUAUUUCUUCGAGUGGUGUUAUGUUCGAAUAUAGUGGUGUUCGAUUAUCUUAUGUGUUUCAACUAUUUAAUUCUAAUCGUCAUAUGCUGUUUUAAUGAAUUCCAACAUGACUGGAGAAUUGGAAUGCAUCUGAAAUAACUUGUUUCUAAUUGAAUUCUAUGUUCUGUUUAAAGCCUGGAAUACACCACAGGAUUUUUGCACUCCAAGUUUGUAGCAGCAAACGCAUUGUGCGGUGAUCAUGCUGAAUUUCUGACACCGUCAGAAAACUUGUAGGCUAUCUUGGACGCAAGACCAGGAAAACGUCCGUCUUUGAACUUCUCCCACCGUACGACACUGUACCACCGACGAAGAGCCACGAUCAUAGAAAUCAUGAUGACUGUUUCACGAUGGAAAUCUUUCGUCUGGGAAAGCCAAAAAUCAUGCAGUUAUGAUUCUAAAUGAUAACUUUACAAGAAACUUUGUCUGGAAUUAGAUGCGUACAAUCCACUUACUCUGCAUCCUCAAGAAAAUAGCGAAACAUGCAUCAACUUUCCAUAUAACCACAUUACACAGGAUGCUAGGAUUUAAACCAUUAUAACAGCACGGAUCGGAUUCAUACAUGAGGCAAGCUAUUUUAAAACUAUAUACAUGUUUUUACACAGACUAUGGGCAUGCAGUUCUAUAAGUGCUUUAUUUUCAGUGCCUGCAAUACCAUCAGGGCUCUUUAUCUACUUCCAGGAACUCUAAUUGCAAACGCUGCAAGGAUUUGAACAUGCAUUAUUGCUACAUGUACAAGAAAUAAGCUUUCGUUAGUAUUGGGCCGUGCGCACUUGCGGCGUGCACGCAGGUUGUCACGUUUCAUGUCCGCGGUCAUGUGUGGUGCGGACAUCGAUCGUUUCUGGAAUGACAGUGUGGCGGAGGAUCUUCAUUUAACAAAUAAUUCAGAACUUCUUAAGUGCAUAUCAUGUAAGAAUGUUAGCACAAACCUGUCACGUUUAAUCAUGCUAUUAUGGUUAGUUAAAGUUUAAGCUGUAAACUUUCAUCUAGAAGGCUAUUACUUUCGGAGUACGUCCAUCUAUCAACUGCACAAACCUACUGAUACCGCUCCUCAGUUUUUGGGGGGUCUUAAUUUACAUUGUAAAUGGAGAAUUUUAUAAUCAUCUGUGUGUCAUGGCGAAGCAGGCAAGACAAGGCAACGGAUCCAAAUGCAAUGGUUUAUUUCUUAAAAUCCAAAAGUGCACAAAGCAGAACCAGAAUGAAGACCAGAAUACAGGACUAAAAAGUGAUGACAGCAAGCUAUACUCGACAAAGGACAACUGAAACACAAGGACUGUAUAUAUUCAUGUGGGUAAACAAGAUAACAAGUCACACCUGGGAAACAAUCUAGAACAAGGACCAACGAACUACAAGAACUACAGACAUGGAUGACAUUACAGAACUUCAAUAAAGAGUACAAGACUGGGGAAACACGACAGUGACACCGUGCUAUCUUUAGCAUCAUUCAGAUUUGUUUGUAACCAUCUAAUCUUCUCCCUACUUUUAUAAUGACAAUAUAAAAGCAUGCAUACAUCAAUUGUCUCUCUUCAUCAGAAGCUGCGCUCCUAAUUUCAACGUGUGCAGGAAUUCACUAUGACAUUCAAUUCAAUAAUGGCAAGCAAUAAUCAAGGUAUGUCUUAAACAAUUACUGGUGGUGGUGGCGUAUUCAACCAUGCUAUAUCAUGGCCUUUGCACCAUUUAUAUCAUUUCUCACUCUGGCAUAACGUUGCCUUCUGCGGCCUACGCGGCCUCUCUGCUAUCAAGCCUAACAAGGGUUUAAUUUCCGGCCUGCGCGGCCUCUAUGCUCUCAAGCCUAACGUGCCAGCCUUCUACGGAUAUCCUCUACUACUGACGUCACGGUCAACAUUUACAGACAUGUUAAUGGAACCUCUAAGAAACACUGGUGGGUACCGAUCAUCGUGAUCAAUUUUUGGGGAUUAGAUUCUGGCCUGUCUUCAUCUUCAGACAGGAACCGCAAGAAUCCGUGACCCCUGGAUUUGAACUAUGGUCGGGGCCUACGCCAAAGAACUAUACUGUGUUAUAUUCCAGCCUUGGUUGCUAACUACUGUUAAAUAAACUCAUAUCAAUUCUUAACCUAUCUUCGAGUCUUUCUGGUAGAAAUGUUAGCUUAGCGUAGCGUAGCGUAAGUUCUACCAGGAAACUUGAAUGUUACGUCAUUCAUUUCACAAGGCGCAAUCAAUCACUCCUGAUUCUGAUUGUAUAUAAGCCUCGUACUCACUUGUCUUUGCGUUCGCAGAUACUGAUGCCAGCAUUUACAACCCACCCUCCCUACCACCAUCACCAGGUCGGUUCCGUCCAUACUCGAGGGAGAUUAGAUUCUGGCCUGUCUUCAUCUUCAGACAGGAACCGCAAGAAUCCGUGACCCCCGGAUUUGAACUAUGGUCGGGGCCUACGCCAAAGAACUAUACUGUGUUAUAUUCCAGCCUUGGUUGCUAACUACUGUUAAAUAAACUCAUAUCAAUUCUUAACCUA